CAGUCGCCGCGGUAAUACGUAGGGUGCGAGCGUUAAUCGGAAUUACUGGGCGUAAAGCGUGCGCAGGCGGUUGUGUAAGACAGGUGUGAAAUCCCCGGGCUUAACCUGGGAACUGCGCUUGUGACUGCAAAGCUAGAGUGCGGCAGAGGGGGAUGGAAUUCCGCGUGUAGCAGUGAAAUGCGUAGAUAUGCGGAGGAACACCGAUGGCGAAGGCAAUCCCCUGGGCCUGCACUGACGCUCAUGCACGAAAGCGUGGGGAGCAAACAGGAUUAGAUACCCCUGUAGUCCCUGUCUCUUAUAC
rnacentral:rRNA from 1 species